AGGGUCCCUGCACAAGGAAACCCACAGCCAACGCCCCACCUUGGCUACAGGCCUGGUGGCUGGAGGCAACUGGGAGCUCCUGGACGCCGGUAGGCUGCAACCGUGCCUGAUAAAGAAGCCUGCCGAGAAUCCUCAAGAGCUCCUGGCUAGGGGAGGACACACACGCAUCUGCUGACACCCUGCACAGGCUGGUCAGGGGCUCCCUCGCCGGGAGCCCAGAGAAGGAUAAACGGGAGGCAAAAGCGGCCUUUGCGGGUGCCGAGUGACGCUGACCACUAUCCAGGGGCAUCCCCAGAGGCUGUGGGCCAGAGACUGCCUACCUGUGAGAGGUGGGCCUGGGGCUGGCAGCGACACCCCUCAGGAGCCUGCCCCCCCACAUCCUAGAGCCUGUUCCCAAUCAAGGGAGCAGGAGCCCCUGGGACCCUCACGACCUGGAAGGACCAUGCCUUGGGAAGUGGCAAGCAUCCCCCUCAGGCACUCCCAGGCCACAGGGACUUGGGCCUACUCCACCCUCCUCCCACACAUGGCUGCAAGCCGGGAAGGAUGUCUCUGGUGGCUUCUGUCCUGGGCUAACAUCAGGGGUAGGAGCACUGAGACCCCUGAGUCCCCUUUGUCUCCACCAGGCUAGCCCUGGGUCCAGGAAGACUGCCACUCAAAGAAGCAUGCAGGGGGACAGAGCAAGGACACAGGUGUCAGGCACAACAUGCUUCUUCCUCUGGCCUGGGGUCAGGGCAAGGGGGCCAAUGGGCGGGGACUUGCCCUUGGCCUCAGAUACCCAGGCCCUGCCAUCUGGCCUCCCCUGGACCCUCAGGAGGGGGCCUUGAGGAUGGAGAGGGUAAGCAGGACGUGUCUUUGGGGACCCAGCUGGGCUUGCGGGGAGCCCCAGCCUUCCCACCAGGAGCCACCCUCCUGGCCAAGAGCACAAAUGGUGGCCACGUCCGAAGCACCAGGAUCUGCCUCAGCCAGGGUCAAACAUAGUUCCUCUGCCUGUGAACUUGGUUUCUGACUUUGCCAGCUGGAGAGCCCAAGCCUGUCUGUCCUGGCCUCCCAGAGAAGGCAGACACCCCGCUGGCUGGCCCCAUGGGGAAAACACUCUGACACUGAGAGCUCUUCCCUCGGCCUUAAAUACGUGUAACUGCUUCUGGUGCCAGUAAAAGGUAUUAAUUCCA